UUGUUUUAUUCCUGAUUAUAAUGGGAAAUAUUUCAAUGUUGUACAAGCAAGAAUAGUUUGUGGUAACUUUUAUGUAGACACAUUUCUCAAAAUAACAGUUCCUCAUUGGUCUGAGCAGCGUGGAUGGCGGGAGAAGUGGUAGCAGCCAGGCAGCCCAGGUUCAUGAAAUCACUAGGCGUGCCACAGCCCUCAGGUACACAGCAUGCAUCAGCCCCACCACAGUGAUGCCCAAAAGGAUGGUCUGCUCCACCUCGGGAGCAGCCAAGGAGGGCAGCCAUGGAGGAGUCGUCUAGGUCGUCAGCCAAACCUGCUCCUGGAAAAGUGAAAACAAAGCACCAGAAAAAGCACCAGGAAAGGAUAAAUCUGCAGACAAAAAAGUGCAAACGAAAGGGAAAAGGGAAGCAAAGGGUCAGCAGGUCGAAGUGGCAGACCAGAAACCUGAAGACUUACCUGCAGAAAAUGGAGAAACUAAUGAGGAGAGUCCAGCCUCAGAUCAAGCAGGAGAAAAGGAAGCCACGUCUGAUUAAUAUCCUAUUGCAUGUCUUAUCAGUGGUCCCUGUCUCCCUGCUUAUACAAUCCAGAGGAAUAUUUUUGUCAACUAUUUUGUAAAUGUAAGUUUUUUGGUAGCUCUAGAAACAUUCUUAAGAAGGAGGGACUUCCACAUCAUCCCAUUUUUAAAAGUGUAAAUGCUUUUUUAAGAGGUGAAAUCAUUUGCUGGUUGUUUAUUUUUUUGGUACAACCAGAAAAUACUGGUAUAUUGAAUAUGGAAGGCUUUGAUUGUCUUGGGUUUCAGCUUAACAUUCCAUAGACAGGGGAGGUUUUUAUAUACUAGUAGAGUCCCGGUGCACAAAAAUUUGUGCACUCGGGUGGGGGGAGGAGAUGUC